GCCGAACUAGACAAUACAAACAUACAACCCCAACCAAACAAAACAUUUGACCAACCAAGUAGAUGUGAUCGAACAGUAUUCAAACCAAACCAAACAGUACCGCAAGGGAAUAACAUCAAGCAACUACAUAGCAAAGACUAAACCUUGUACCUUUCGCAUCAUGGUCUAGCAAGAAACACAAGACAAGAAGAAUCACAGCCUUCACCCCGAAACCAGAUGAGCUACUUUAAAGCAGCCUAACGGGCGCACCCUUCUCUGUAGCAAAAGAGUGGGAAGACUCAAAAGUAGAAGUGAAACGCUUACCGAAUCUGGAGAUAGCUGGCUACCUAAAAUAGAAUCUAAGUUCCACCUUAGACCCUGACAAUAACCACUUAUUAUCUAAGGAUAGUCAAUAGGGGUACAGCCCUAUUGAAACAGGAUACAACCUGAAUUUGAGAGGAAUAAACUUAACACCCCCAGUAGGCCUUAAAGCAGCCACCUUACAAAAUAUCGUUAAAGAAUUUAACUAAAAACUCAAUCACUAAUUAAAAACUCCACACAAACUAAGGGUAAACCCAUAACUAUGGGUAUUAUUAUGCUAGAACUAAUAAUAAGAUAACCUCUCUACAUGCACCUAUCCACUAGGCUGGAUAAACCACUAGUUAUUAACAGACCACAAUAGGCAACUAACAAACCAACACCCACCUUAAAAUAAACUGUGACCCCAACACAGGCGCAUCAAAAAGAAAGAUCCACCAUUAUAAAAGGAACUCGGCAAACAAAGACCCCAACUGUUUAACAAAAACAUAACCUUUAGCCAAACAAAUAUUAAAGGCAACGCCUGCCCAGUGAACAUUAAACGGCCGCGGUACCCUAACCGUGCAAAGGUAGCGUAAUCAUUUGUCUACUAAUUAUAGACCUGUAUGAAAGGCAAAAUGAGGGUCCAACUGUCUCUUAUAAUAAAUCAAUUAAACUGAUCUCCUAGUAAAAAAGCUAGAAUUCCCACAUAAGACCAGAAGACCCUGUGAAGCUUAAACUAAACUAUUAAACCACGUAAUAACUACUUUCGGUUGGGGCGACCUUGGAAAAAAAAAGAACUUCCAAACAUAUGAGCUUACCUCUAAAUCACCAAACAGGCCCACUAGCCAACAAACGACCCAGCACAGCUGAUAAAUGAACCAAGUUACUCCAGGGAUAACAGCGCAAUCUUCUUCAAGAGCCCAUAUCAAAAAGAAGGUUUACGACCUCGAUGUUGGAUCAGGACACCCCAAUGGUGCAGCCGCUAUUAAAGGUUCGUUCGUUCAACGAUUAACAGUCCUACGUGAUCU
rnacentral:rRNA from 1 species